rnacentral:misc_RNA from 1 species
UACACAUUCGGCUUUUGUCCGGCUCCCCAGACACCGCGCUACCAACGCCGACGCCGGUAUACAAUUGCGGUACUCGGUACCACUAUAUAUGAACACAUUAUUAUGAUGUGAAUUACGAAAUACGCGUACCAGUUUUAAAACGAAAAAAUAACAUUCAUACCAUAUUAUAGUUUUUUUUUUUGAAUUUAACAGUUUCAAACUAUUAAAAAAUUUAAAAACAAAUCAUAUCAAUAAUCGUUGCGAUAAAAAAAAUAAUGCGAUUCCAUAAAACAUGAACGGUGUUGAUGAUAGACAUUGAAUCCUUCAACAUGUACGGGUUUACUGCCUAUAAACUUCACACGGUUACUCCAAACCCAUAUUUAAGUUAGGAUGUCUUCAUCAAAAAUGUUGAGAACUACCUUAUGUGACGAAACAAUAAUGAAAAAAUGUCGAGAAAAUAUUUUACCAAGCGGAAUUAUGCACGUAAUAGGUCGGUCGUCCGAUACCGGACGAAGGACAUCUGCAACCGUUCAUUUUAAUACGAAAAUCCCGUUCAACAGUGCCACGGAUCAUCUUUACAGAACAAAAGAUACUUUAAAAUCUUCAACUGGGACUUCUUCUACUGCUACGGGCCAUAGACGUGGAGCGCCAAGACAUGCCUUAGCAAAUCAAAAUAAUACAUUUGGUCGAGGGUCAUUUCCAAACGAUUACAAUGAUGACGGCCUUGACGAUUAUUUAAGUCACAGGCGGUACUCAGCAGACGAAUGUAGCUUAGAUACAGGCAGAAAAUCUUUAACGUUUGACUUGUACGAUAAGAAGCUCUCAGAGAGCAUACACGACGUGCAAAAGAAAUUUCAUGAAAUCACUGUAUGCGAAAACAGCACUGUCAAAGAGAUGACACCAGAAAUACCAGAACCACGAGUGCGAACGCCACCAGAAUUAUCGCGUGUAAAUACCGAUGACCCAGCCGAAUGUGUCAAACAGAUGUUAAAAGCAGCUAGAAACAUGGAGUUGGAAUCAGUUGUUAAUAUUUUGACAAGCCAUGAUGAAGAAUUUUUUAGAAAUAAUAUCAAUGACACGGAUUCUACAGGUCGAACGCUGUUGAGCUACGUGUCAUCGAGUGGCAGCGUCGAAAUAGUUGAAGAGAUAUUUAGAGUACCGGACUUGGAUUAUAACAAACCGGACAAUGAGGACAACACACCAUUACAUUUUGCAUCGCAAGCAGGUCAAUCCGAAAUUGUGUGCCUGUUAUUGAACAACUGUCUAAAACUAGAGAUUGAUGCCAGAAACUGUUUGGGCUUCACACCACUAAUGAAAGCUGCUCUACAAGGGCGCACGAAAUGCGCGAAAUUUCUACUGUACGCAGUGACAUAAGUUAAUAAUGCUGUCAAUUGGGCUACUUCUGAAAGCUUCAAUAGCCAUUCUAAAACUUGCAUUGUGAAUUUUGGUCUUGUGUUUUUAGAACUGUUUUUUGACUCCAGAAUAAAAUAUUAAACCGUAUUCUAGGCCGAAAGGAUGAUUAAGGCUUUGUGAAUGCGUCUUUGAAUUAUGUUUUCACGGCGCCCUAAUUGGCGCUUCGCCCACUAUGCGGGACACCGGUCGGGGCCUGCGGGCCGAACAGUGGGCCAGAUUCUGCGGCCGGUACAAUUGCGCGGACGCGAUUGAGAAACUGGCGCGCAACCGACUGCUGGAACGGACGA